GAUGAACGCUGGCGGCGUGCCUAACACAUGCAGGUCGAGCGAUUUACUUCGGUAAAGAGCGGCGGACGGGUGAGUAACGCGUGGGUAACCUGCCCUGUACACACGGAUAACAUACCGAAAGGUAUGCUAAUACGAGAUAAUAUGCUUUUAUCGCAUGGUAGAAGUAUCAAAGCUUUUGCGGUACAGGAUGGACCCGCGUCUGAUUAGCUAGUUGGUGAGGUAACGGCUCACCAAGGCGACGAUCAGUAGCCGACCUGAGAGGGUGAUCGGCCACAUUGGAACUGAGACACGGUCCAAACUCCUACGGGAGGCAGCAGUGGGGAAUAUUGCACAAUGGGCGAAAGCCUGAUGCAGCAACGCCGCGUGAGCGAUGAAGGCCUUCGGGUCGUAAAGCUCUGUCCUCAAGGAAGAUAAUGACGGUACUUGAGGAGGAAGCCCCGGCUAACUACGUG
rnacentral:rRNA from 1 species